UGGGGAAUUUUGGACAAUGGGCGCAAGCCUGAUCCAGCCAUGCCGCGUGUCUGAAGAAGGCCUUCGGGUUGUAAAGGACUUUUGUCAGGGAAGAAAAGGGCGGGGUUAAUACCCCUGUCUGAUGACGGUACCUGAAGAAUAAGCACCGGCUAACUACGUGCCAGCAGCCGCGGUAAUACGUAGGGUGCGAGCGUUAAUCGGAAUUACUGGGCGUAAAGCGGGCGCAGACGGUUACUUAAGCAGGAUGUGAAAUCCCCGGGCUCAACCUGGGAACUGCGUUCUGAACUGGGUGACUAGAGUGUGUAAGAGGGAGGUAGAAUUCCACGUGGAGCAGUGAAAUGCGUAGAGAUGUGGAGGAAUACCGAUGGCGAAGGCAGCCUCCUGGGAUAACACUGACGUUCAUGCCCGAAAGCGUGGGUAGCAAACA
rnacentral:rRNA from 1 species